AGCUGGGCGCAAUUUUAUUGUGUGCGAUUUUGUUUUAGGGGUGCCAAUUAGAGUCGCCAGAUUUUUUCAGCCUGUAAGGGGCAAAUGCUUAAAUAGACAAAAAAUACGGGAAAUUAGUUUUUUACCCGGGACAAAUAAAAAACAAAAUUAUAUAGUGACAAUCUUUAUUUCUUUAUUGAUAUUUUUUCGAGGAGCAAGUCAAUUUUAACAUAUUUUUAUCGGUUUUAACAUAUUUAUAAAAAUCAAUACAAUUAAAAUCGCACGCUUCGAAUACGGGACAGAGACCAGAGUCCCGAGACGUCUGGCAACCCUAGUGCCAAUGCACAGAGGUCGGCCACAAAUGGCGCGAGUUUUUUAGAAUCUGUUUGAAAACUUCAUGGAAGACUGCUUCAGAUAACCUUAUAACAUGUACUGUUAGAGCUGAUUCAGAUCAGGUCAGACCAAAAUUUUUUAUAGGAACGAAAAAGGUGUCGCGUGCUUAUUAAGUACAUUUCAACAGCGCAUUGUGCUUAGUGUGAGUUUUAUGAAGUUAUCGAUAGCGUAAAAGUUAAAUCGAAUUGACUUCGAACAGCGCCCCUAGCGGCAAACGUAGGCAAACGUUCCACGUUUACGCUAUCGAGAACGUUAAAAAACUCGCGCUAUGGACACAGUUAACUCAAAUUUGCAAACGUAGGAGCGCUGUUCAAACUCCAUAAAACUCGCACUAAGCACACAAGUAUAGAUGCACAAAAGUAAUCAAUGCAUGCUUAUGUAAUCAAAUGCAGUCGAGAUAUAUAAAUAUAUAAAAAAAAUUAUUGCUUAGACGAGUGGACUAGCUAUGAGCCCCAUAUCCCACCCGGUGUUAAGUGGUUACUGGAUCCCAUAGACAUCUCCAACUGUAAAUGCGCUACCCGCCUUGAGAUAUAAGUUCUAAGGUCUCAGUAUAGUUACAACGGCUGCCCCACCCUUCACACUAUCGAUAUAUUACCACUAGAUCCCGCGUAAAGGCGUCAAAAGUAACCAAACAAAACAGUGCUUAGAUUCAUAUUAAGCACUGUUUUGCCGUCAGUGUCACGCCGACCGUCGAGUGGAACGAUCCUAAAAUGCGCUGUAAAAAGAUGUAAAAAACACGCUUAUAAAGAGAAAACAACAUGAAAUUUAGUAUUUUUGAUUUAAUAACAGAGUAAUAAAAGAAAAAAGAAGCGACAAUUAUUUCAAACCUAAUUGCUCCAGUGUGGUUUGUGCAGACCAUUUUACCGAAUCUGACAUGUAUUUAAUAAAUAAAACAAUUUGAUUGGGAUUAUAUUGUUGUGAUUUAAAAAGCUCUUAUCCAUUUUCCCCACCGAUGUGCAAGGUACAAUAUAGCUAACUCAGGUAUAAUUAUCUAUAGUUAUACAAUAUUUGUUGUUAAUCAUAAGGAAUUAAAUUGAAAAAAUUGAAUGAAUAUGAAUUAAAAAAA